rnacentral:rRNA from 1 species
UACAGAGGGGGCAAGCGUUGUUCGGAAUUACUGGGCGUAAAGGGCGCGUAGGCGGCCUUCUAAGUCGAACGUGAAAUCCCCGGGCUCAACCCGGGAACUGCGUCCGAUACUGGAAGGCUUGAAUCCGGGAGAGGGAUGUGGAAUUCCUGGUGUAGCGGUGAAAUGCGCAGAUAUCAGGAGGAACACCAAUUGCGAAGGCAGCUCGCUGGGACGUAACUGACGCUGAGACGCGAAAGCGUGGGGAGCAAACAGG